UACGUAGGGAGCAAGCGUUGUCCGGAAUCAUUGGGCGUAAAGCGCGCGCAGGUGGCCCCAUAAGUCCGCUGUGAAAGUCAAAGGCUCAACCUUUGAAAGCCGGUGGAUACUGUGGGACUAGAGUACGGAAGAGGCGAGUGGAAUUCCUGGUGUAGCGGUGGAAUGCGCAGAUAUCAGGAAGAACACCCGUGGCUAAGGCGGCUCUCUAGUACGGUACUGACGCUGAGACGCGAAAGCGUGGGGAGCGAACAGG
rnacentral:rRNA from 1 species